CACCCCACUUUCACUUUGCCACGAGGAACCUUUCUGUCCCCGGUGGUCAUUCAUGUGGGGAAAAGUAGUUCAUCCUUACAUUACCCAGCCCAACUUUGUGUUUGUGCUGGGACUUUGUGUAGGAGACAGAC
rnacentral:snoRNA from 1 species